rnacentral:rRNA from 1 species
GCCUACGGCCACACCGGACUGAACGCGACCGAUCCCGUCCGAACUCAGAAGCUAAGUGGUCCCAGGCCCGGCUAGUACCUGGAUGGGAGACUGCCUGGGAAUCCCAGGUGCUGUAGGCU